UUUUUUAUUGUCUCUGUACUCGGCUGUUCAGCUUGUGCAGCUAAUGAUCUAAUGUAUUUUGUGGUAACUAUGUAUUUUUCGGAUGUGUGCCGAGUAUUAUCCCCUUUGUUUAUUCUGUUGGCUUGCUUUCAUUGAUCUUAAGAUAACUGGUGCUAUAAAUUCACACUAGCUGAUGCACUUGCAAAUAGCUAUGUAAAUAUGAAAAGAAGUAUUUUUUUAUCCUUUUGUUUGUUUGGCAUCAUAUCUGUUUAAAUGGCAUAGCAAUAAGAAUUUUUUGUUUUUGGGGAAUCAUAUCUGCUUAAAUGGUAUAGAAAAUGCUGAGUGCACUGUCAAAUAGAUUUUCCAGCAGUCUGCUUUCAGUUGUUUUUGCAAAUCCUCACAGGCCAGUGAACUGACUUUGUUUUUACCACCCCAUGCCAUCUAAAUGACUAAAUCAGUCAGCCUAAUACUAUAUAUGGUCAUGCUAUGAUCUUAUUUCUUGAAGCUCUAUAGGUCAACCCAUAAGGGUAACUUAGUUUUUCCUAUUCUGGCUGGGGAAGUGGAUACGAUGGCUAUCCUUGGUAGAGUUAAAUACAUUGGCGGCUCUUAGCGCGCCAAUGUGGCACCACAAUAUCGAACAUAUGUAGAAACCCCCUUGUUUUUUCUCAUAUCCCUCUCUCUCAGCGUCCUCUUCUCUUCUUCUCCUCUGUCUCCUCCCCUCCCAUCGCGUGCUUUAUUGCGCCGCCGCCAUCCGCCUCCAUGUAUGAACACGUCGUUUGUCAUGAAGAAGCAGUUGAUGAGGCAAUCAAGCAUGUGGUGCACAAGGUUCUUCUGCUGGCCAAGUCCGAGUCGAACAGCCGCGCAUUCAUUGGGGAAGCACGCGCCAGGCAUCACCAGGCUCCUCGUGCCCCUACUCUGCUCCAAGGACUCGGUGCUUCGACGCGCUGCUUUCCCUGUCCGGCGAGCGGGGAUCGUUGGGAGAUGAUCGAUGGAGGAUGGAGCUGAUCCUCCUGUACACGGUGCCGGUGGGGAGCAGGGAGCUGCGGAGCAGGUCCACGGGCGGCGCCAUUACAGCAGGUGCAGGCUAAGGGUAAUGAGCAGAUCGAGGCGAUGGAGGAGGACCCGCACGAGGUGCAGCUUCUUCGCCUCCUGCGCAAGGUCAGCGCCCAAGCAGCCGCUGAGGGACAGGCCGAGGCUUAGCUCGAUCUCAUCCGACUAAAUGGUGGCUGCACUCCCACAGUCCCACUGGUGCUCCUCCCUUCUGUCCGAACCUGCCGAGGAAAUCCCUCGAUGCCAUGGGUCCCGGCUGGACGACUACUCCUCCCACAGAUUGACUGAGGAAGAAGAGCUUCUCAGUGUCCAAAAAUUCAGUUACACUGGAAACAGCAACCAAUUACGUCCUUCCGGCUCAGCCAAGCCCCAAUCUCCUUGCUUCUGUGCGCCCCUGCUAAAUAUUCCAGAAACCAAUCUGGUUAGUUGUUUUUUCACAUUUUCAGUGCAUGCCGGUGCUGCUGUGUGCGGCAUGCAUGGAGUUGUCGUGGGAGUGCACGGUGGCUUAGCUGGUGCGCCAGUGCGCGGGCACGAACACAACGGUGAAGAUGGCAGGGCCAUCUCAAAGCUCCUGAGCACCUGCACGCGUCGCUGAGCAGGACAUGCUGCGACGGUGGGCGAGCGCUGCUAACGCCCUGGGGAAGAGCAGUGGGUGCAGAGAGAGGGAGCGAGGGAGAGGGGUUCUUGUAUAUGUUUGCUAGCGUGGCACCGUUUACGGUGCCCGCCUAAGUGGCAUUCACGUGUCAUUCAUCCCAAAUGGUGUUGCAAGGUUGAACCUAUUGUGGGAGGCUUUUGGUUUCCCUUGACCAAGUAUCACCAGUGAUAUCACUGCGUUCUGGUUAUGUACGAAACACUUGUCCUUUUAAAACCUUUCUGAAUUUAGAAACGAAUUUGAAACAUUACCCUCAUUUCCAUGUUUUUCUAUCUUUUGUCCCUGUAAAAUCAAACUAAAUUUGAAUUAUUAUGUUCAGAACUACAAGCUGAUUUACUUGUCCCAUUUGCUAAUAACAGGGCCUUGUGAUUUCUAAUGAACAUUGCAGAGCAUGUUAUAAAGCGUAUGCAUGAACACCAAGGGGAUGAAACCAUUGGUAUAUUUCUCAUAACCUUUUGAACUUAUCAUUUAGCAUAUUUGUGUUCUAGUGUGACGUUUCAGCCACGAGACAUGAGAAAUGUUAGCUAUGGAUUUUGGUUAUUCAUCAUGGGUUCACAGAUUUGUUUUUCUCUAAAAGAAUUGGGAAGUAGCUUUCUUUCUGGGUAUAUGUGGGGAAAUGCAUAUGCAAUCUUUUAUUUAUUGAGGUGACUGUAAAAUUCUUGUCUGACUGAAUAUGCGAUUUCAACCUACAUGCUAUACUUAGGGAAAUUUGUGAAUCUCCUAAUGUCUGCUGCAUGGCAUGAAUGCAUAUUUUACUGGUCCAUAAUGUGAAGUUCUGUAUAUAAACUUCUCGUGUUGACCCUUUAGAACAUGCUAACUGGAGAGUUUUCUAGAGUAGUUAAACAAGAGAUUUAGUUAAAUCUGCACACAUAGGUGGGGCCUGGCAUACCCUAAGAAUCGGCCUAGCCGGCCAGCCCAUUAGUAAAAAAAAAAGCACCGCAGUCAGCAGUCCCCACGUUGGUCUUCCUCGAGUCGCGACUCGCGAAGAUCCCAUCCUCCGAGUCCAAGAUGGUGGACUGUGUCGAGCGCGGGGCGGGCGAUUAGUUGCCCGGCCGCCGGCGGGGGAUGGCCGGACGGCCAGAUCGCCGACUCCUCUAGUCCUCCCUCCAGCCUCUGCGCUUCUUUCACAGUGGAGCUAGCGGCGAGGCGCCCGACCGACACCCUUCUUCCCAAAUCCCGGCAGCCCUGCCUCGAUUUGGCCUCCUCCGAUCAUUUGAUAAUCAAUUUGAUGAAAUUAAUAUGGAGUUGCUUUCUUGUAUGGUUGCCUUCAAUCCUGCUAAUUCAUUUGCUUCAUUUGAUGCACAAAAGAUACACAGACUUGCUAUAUUUUUAUCCACAAGACAUCACAAGCACGGAUUUGCUAAAACUUGAAUUCCAGCUCGAUAUUAUAUUGAUGAUGUGAGAUAGGAUGAUAGUUUCAAAGGCCUACAAGAUCUUGUUAACUGAGACUCAGUUAAGCUUGUUGAAACAAACAGGCAUAAUAUUUAUGACUUGGUUUACUUGCUUCUCAAAUUGGUAUUGGUUCUUCCUGUGGCGACAGCUAGUGUUGAAAGGGAUUUUUGUGCAAUGACUUUGAUCAAGAGUAAGCUAAGAAAUAAGAUGGGUGAUAGUCUUUUGGAUGAUUGUCUUAUCACAUUCAUUGAGAAAGAUAUUUUCUUUGAAGUGGAUGAAGAAGAUAUAAUUAAGACUUCAUAUCCAUUAGAAAUCAUAGGCUGGAGAAGAAGUAAUAUUUUAAUUUUCUUUGAACGUUAGGUCUGUAAGCUUCUUUUAAACUAUCUACAUUAUAAUUUAUGGACCUUUUAAUUUAACCGUUGAAUUCAUGAUAUUAUGAGAUUUUUUUAUCUAUGUUAUUAUUGUUUACCGAUUUAUUACCAAAUUAUUAGUUUGAUCUUACAAUAUUGUAUUUUGGAUGAUUGGCUCGGCAUACUCUAAGUUUAAAUCCUAGCUCCGCCACUGUUUGCACAUUAAUGUGGCUUAUAUGUGUGGAGUCACUUAACCUAUGCACUUGGACCUCCACUCCCUUAGGUUUUAUGAACCUAAUUUGACAGCCUGCUCGUCUUUUAUUUUCUACCAAUCAGCUAGGAACGAACAUGGUGAUGUUUGCAUCUCUUGCAUCAAUGGCUUACAUGUCAUUAUGUAUCACAUUAGCAAGUCUUGUUUUGUUAUUGGCUGGGAUGACGGGGACUCUAGCUGGAAUUGAAUCAAAGUGGUAGAUCACAGGGUAUUCAUUGCCAUGUAUUUCUGCAGUUGCAUGGACUUGCAUCAAACGGACCUUCCUACUUAUGUGAUUGUCCUAUAUGAUCUCCUUUGAUUUCAUUUGCACACUGUAAUCACAUUAGCUAGAACACUCGCUUUUUGCUUCAAAUUUGAAAUUCAUAUCAUGAUGGACUAGAACGCUGAAUUUCUUGAUUGCUGAGUUACUAAUCACAUUGUGGCGCUGCCAAAGAAGCUGGACUCUUCAUUGUUGUUGCCUUGUGGGCUGCCGUGUGCAAAGAACAAGAGCGCACGGUAUUAUAAUAGCAGAGCUGAACACAGACAAGCGACAAGGAGCGGAGCAGAGCAGAGCACAGCCAAGCACAAGCAGUAGAGUAGAGCAGAGCAACCGGGAGAGGAGAGGGCACAUAUGCAGAGUAGAGCAGAGCCAAGCGCAAGCAUUCAUGCACUCAAGCAUGCAGCAGAGGUGUAGCAAGGCAAGCACAAGCAGCAGAGCAGAGGGAAGGGAAGGCUGGGAGAUGAAUAGGCGAAUAGUUACCUGGACAGAGCAGAGGGAAUGGAGAUGAUGCAGAUGCUUCCGGAGACUGGAGAUUUGGAGAGGAACAAGGCCACGUUGUGAACAAGGUCUCCUUUCUCUUCUCUAUUUCCCGCGCAAGUACUUGUGCAUAGUGGCUGCCUCAUCCUCCAGGACGCCCACUUCAACCUGAGGCGGGUGCCACAGACAUCCUGGCUAUGCGACGGCUACCCCCAGCACACCCCCAGCGCCUAUGAACCAUGAUCCUAAUACUAUAAAUUGUCAACCUUGUAAUCUUAUUUCAAGCAUGCUUUCUAUGUCAACCUGUAAGGUUAAUUUCGUUUUUCCUUUUCUGGGUAGGGGAGUGGAUAUUGCUGUUAUUUAUAUUAUGUUGAUAUUGGUUUCCACAUGUCAUUCACCCCAAAUGUGUUGCAAGGUUGAACCUAUCAUCGGAGGAAUUUUUUUCCCUUUACCUUUAUAUCACUACGCUCUGGUUAUGUAUGAAACACUUGUCUUCUUAAAAACCUUAAUUUAGAAACAAAUUUGAAACACUAUCUUCAUUUACAUCCUGUAUGUGUUUUCUACCUUUUGUCCUAUAUGAUCUGCUUUGAUUUGAUUUGUGCAUAGUUUUUUCAAUUCAGACCUGGUGAUCUCUGAGGUUCAUGUUGUGCUGAUAAGCAGCCUACUAUUCAGUAACACUUUCAUGUGGCAUGUUCAUGUUAGCUAGCUAGAAACACUGCUUUUAGCUUCAAAAUUCAAAUUCAUGACAUGAUGGACAUUGACAAUGAAUUUCUUGAUUGCCGAGCUAUGUACACUGUAAUUCAGACCUGGUGCUUUUAGUUUUUUUCUUGAUUGCCGAGCUAGAAACACUGUGCUUUUAGUUUUUUCAAUUCAGACCUGGUGAUUUCGGUUUUUUCAAUUCAGACCUGGUGAUUUCUGAGGUUCACGUGUCACACCGAUUUUAAGAACAAAAUCGAGUGCAUUAAAUAUACAUGUACGCUAGGAUCAGGUUACACACAUGUACGACAUAAGCGAAUAUCAAAGACAAUGCCAUAACGAAAUAAAGAGAGUAUUAAUCAUUAUUACAUGACCGAAAGUCUCAAAUAAACCACAAAAUCUAUUUAUUACAUAGCGGAACUCCUAAGAUAGCAACGUCUCCACAGGCAGCUGACUGAAGAACUGUAUGCCUAGAACUCUUCAAAAUCGUGCAGGUACUCCUCCAGAUUAGCUUGGUAUGAACAACGGUUUUGCAAGGGUGAGUACACUUAUGGUUGGUACUUAAUAAGUCGUGGGAAACAAUGUAGUGUAAGGCAAAUCAAGGUAUGGCUAAGGCUUAAACAGCAUCAGCUUUUAAUUUAGUUGGUCAAAUUUUAUUAGCAAUUAAUUAGACGUAAAUUUAUACCACCCGAAAUUAAACAAGAACAUGAAUAAAAUAAUAACAUAACCAUAAAUGAAAUGACAACAAUUUAAAUCCAUCUUUUCAUAGCAUUAUCAUGUGAGGGUCCAGUCCGCUCUUAACCGUGAGCACCGCUGAUCGAUCAGUUUUACACUCUGCAGAGGUUGUACAUCUUUACCCACAAGUCGCGUAAAAGUUCAAAAGAAUUUUGGACCCAACCAUGCGGUGUUUGCAAGGCACCAUACCACACUUCCAAGGUGUGAUUGCAUAUGAACGCUACGAGGCCUUUACAAAGAUUCAUUAGUAAGUGGUAACCCGCUAAAGUUUCGGUAUUUGGCGUGCACAACCUAUCACAGGCCGCUAAUGCAACGACUCAGUCCCCCCUCUUGCCUCAUCACGAGUAAGAUUACCCCAGACUAAGGUUUCUAAUUAUUCAGCCAAGAUCAGAACCAUUUAGUCUUGUGGUAGCACUGUUUUCUUGGGUGGUUCUCCAUGUUCCGAUUAAACAUAAUGGUCUUGUAUUAAUGGAAGGUAUAACAUAAAUAAUACCAAAUUAAUAAUAAUUCAGAUUAAAUCACCAUAACCAUAUUUGAGCACUAAGCAUGAGCUACCCAACAUAAAUUUAACCCGGUUGGUCAAGGCAAGGUAGAUAAAGUCUAGGAAAUUCUUAAUUGGGACCCAUCAAGUUUAAAUUAUACUUUGCAUGGUAUUGUUGCAUAGAACAUGAAAGUAAAUGUGAAUAGGACUGAAAAGGAGUGAUUAGGGACACGACUUGCCUUUUUAACCUUGUUCUUGCUGUUCGUACUCCUCGAAAACUUUGAUCUUCAAAUCCCUCGAACUGCUGACCGUCUACACGCGUCACACGACCACAUACAAGCAAACAAAUAUAAUACAUAAGAAAACAGUACACCAAUCAUAAUUAAAUAGAAGAAACAAAUUUGAAAAGCUAUUCUACGCAUUAAAACGAAAACACGGAUACAAGGAACGUUAAAAACGGAGCUACAGUGCAAAAACUACGCUUAAAACAAGAUGCAGGGGUAUAACUACGAGAAACCAAACUUCCAGGGAUUUAAUUUUAAAUAAUUUUGAACUGCAGAAGGGGCAGCAGGGAAAAACGUAGAAAAUGCAGGGGCUUAAGCGCAAAAGCAUGGCUGCUGACUCAGCUGACUUGAUGUGGAUCGUCGGAUGGCGAUCCGGCGGCCGGCAGCUGCUGCGCUGACGUCAGCGACGGCGAGCGCCGGCGAAAAACGGCAGUUCGCCGGAAUCGCCCGGGAACGCGCGACUGGGUGCAGAUUUGAGCGAGGAUUAGACUAGCAGAUAGAAACGAGCGCAGUGAACUCAUUUGGGAUGCCUACGGCGAGGACUUGGCGACGGCAUCGGCUCCGGCGAGAACUUGCGGCAGGGAAACCAAAUAAAAUAAAAUAACACGGUUCAGAGAAGCGGCGCUGGAGGAACGCGAGCGAUUUUGCGUGCGAGCGGAAGAAAACACUGCGAGGAAGAUGACUGCGGGCCCUGCUUGUCUGCGGCAGGAGGAGAGCUGCGUGCGAGAAGAACCUGGCCACGAUCUGGGCCGUUGCCUUCGAUCUGGGCCGAGGCAAGCUAGCUGGCCCGCUGCUGCGGAAAGGUGCUGGGCCACGGGCGGAGCACAGCGUCGGGCCAGAAAGGAGAUGGCUGCUGCGAGGAAACAAAAGAAAAUGAACUGGGCUGCGACAGAGGAAAACUGGGCGUCGGCCAGAAAGAAGCUGCGUGCAGCUUGCUCUUGUUUCCGAACUAGAAACAGGAACUGACGGAAAGACAGAAAUCAAUUGGAGACUGAAACUGACGCCCCAGACUCUGAACUUCGAAAAAACAGGACAACCAGCCAACUGACAGAAAAAAAAAAAGCUUAACAACCCAAAAGCAGUACACAACCACGAAACCAGGCCACAAGACUGAAAAAGCUUGAUAGGAACAUCUGGCGACUGAACCAAAAAACUACAGAACUGCAACUGAAGAACUAGAGAACAGAUAAAUAACUGAUUGAACUCUGAAACUGAAACACCAAAGAGCAGGAAGCUGACUGACGGAAAAUGCAAAACAGCAACCCAAGGUGAAACACAAAUCCUUCUUCAAGCAUUCAAACAAAGAGAUAUGCAACAGCAUGAAUGCUCAAUAAAAUCCUAUAUUUCAUUAAUUAAUUAGAAAAAAUGCUCAAAUGCCUAGAAAAAUGCAAAAGUGACCUUAUAUACCUUAAACAAGCAAAUUCGUUUCUAGCGAUUUUUGGUAAAAUGCAAAAUUAGAGAUUUUGGGUGUUACAUCAUGUUGUGCUGAUAAGCAGCCUACUAUUCAGUAACACUUUCAUGUGGCAUGUUCAUGUUAGCUAGCUAGAAACACUGUGCUUUUAGCUUCAAAAUUAAAUUCAUGACAUGAUGGACAUUGACAAUGAAUUUCUUGAUUGCCGAGCUAUGUACACUGUAAUCACAUUGUGGGGCUGAUAAAAUAAGCAGCGUUGAGACACAUAACAAUUGAAUCUUAAGCUUCACACAGAAUCUGGACCAGUCAUCCUCAUUCCUGUCAUGCUGGAAAUGUCUUUGAUACAUUUCAAUCACAGGCAAUUGAAUUCGUACUGGGGAGGAUGGCAAUGGUGCGUGAAGAGAGAUCAAUGUGGCAAAUCUCACAUUGUUCAUUACCAGGUAUCUCCGAUUUCUGGUUAUUUUAAAUUUACCUUGACAUGUGACUUAUUGAGGUAUUGUAUUUCAUCUAAUGGUAGUUCUGAAUUUAUGGUAACCUUGGAUGGGGUUUGUCACUUUAUACACGCACGGACUUACAAAGGACAGCAAAUGAGUAUAUUUAGAGGGCUCCUGUCCAACCAUGGACUAUACUUAUGUACCCUUUUUUGACAUGGUAAUUUGAGGUUAAUGGAAAAGUAGCGAUAGUCGCCUCCAGCGAAGCUACCUUCUUCGAAAGCUCCGAGGCUGCUUUCUCGCUCUUAGCAAGCCGAUCCCUCGUAAUCAUCGAAGAGUAAGAGACCUACAGAUUUUAAAAACCAAGUUACCAAAAAUAACGAAGUAAAAGACAACACUCGCAAGACAAACCACCAAACUAUCUCAUAAUUGUACCUUCUUUACGAGGUUCGCCUCCAAGUUAAAGAGCUCUUCCAAGAUCAUUGACUUCACAGCUUGCUGAAAAUCUAUGCGCCAAAGGAUAUAGUCGUAAGCAUAAAAUAAAAAUUGGUAAAAACCAAGGACAGCAAAGCCAUCUACAAGCUGUUCUUACCCUCAUACUUUCGCACCUCAACGGCGAUCGGAACAACCUUCUCUCUAGCCUCGCCCUUAGACGCCACCACAAUCUUCCCGCCACACAAAUCCACAACCUGUCCUUUACCUUUGCCCUCUCCCGAAGUCGUCGUGCCCGCCUUCUCCACCCUUUUUGAACCGCCAACAUCUGCAUAGCGCUCGCAACCUUCACCUUCAGCCCCCCAGACCAAAGACAGGUUGUGAGGAUUAUAAACCCUACCUUCGGCGCAUGUAGCUAGAAUCUCCGUGCGCCCGCUCAAGCCCAGACACUCAUUCAGUCCCUGAAGCCCCGCCGGCAACCUCUCACCUACAUCAUAACAUUCAACUUUUAGCCUCACAUGAUCCUCACAACUAACCUUACCAACGCCCCCCAUAGUUUCUUCCAAGUCCUUCAAAAAUUUUGUUGAGGCCUCACCACAAUCAAAGAACCGUAGCAUCGAUAGAAACACCUCUACAUGCUUACCAGAUCUCACAGCUUCGGCACACCCACCCUUUGGAUCGGAUGAGAACGCAUCCACAAGCUUCGCCUUUUCAGUGGCAAACCCCCUCUCAAGUUUCCCAACAUCAGUCAAGAGAUGUUGCGCGCUCUUAAACUUCGAGCUUAUGGAAGGCACCGUGAUCUUGGUACCAGCUGCCGAAGACGCGUCAACCUUGGCACCCGUAACAGUAACAGGAGCAAAUCGAGGUUUCUUGGCGCCUCUUUUGAUCCGCGCAGCGGGCCCGGUGGAUGAAGGUGCAAGAGCUGGAACCUCCUUAGGAGGGCGCAUAGAGACAGGAACAACAUGUGCCGGAUUGCUCAAGUCGCCAGACGAAGCUGUCGACCACGAUGGCAACAUAGCAGACGAAGCCCCCGCGGUCAUUUCCUUCCUUUUUUGCGCCUCCAAAUUCAAGGUCUUUUGCUUCGCCUUAGCGGUCACUUGCAAUUCAAUAGUGAGCUUCACCACGGGUACGAAGUCAAAUUUUGCCUUUUUCCUCUGCUCAAGACUAGCACCGCGACGGCGCCUCUUGCCCGUAACUUUGGGGUGAGGCAGAACCACAAUAUCAUACAAGUCAAAAAUCUGAGAUGAUGACAUUCCAUUUGUAUCCAUGAUUUAUAUUGUGUUCCUUGAAUAUCCAUUAAAGUCUACUUGAAUUGAUUUGCAAUUAUGUGAAUUGUAUGUGAAACUCUUUCCUUGUAUGGUUAUUCUAAAGUUGUCCCUAGUCGGAGUUCAUGUGAGGACACAUGAAUAUUAGACUAGCACAUGUAUUAGAUGAUGACUAUGUUUCACAAGUCAUGGACAUGAAGAUGUGGAACUAAUAAUGUGGGCACAUGUGGAGACACGUGCUAGGACUGACCCAACACGAGAAGUAGUUCUCUCUUUAUACAACAUAUACGCUUUGUCCUUAGACCUGAGAUUGUCGCAUGUACUCAAGAUGUGGAUUGACUUACUUAGGGGCUAUCAAAUUCUACGCCGUAACAGGGUAGUUAUAAAGGUAGCUUUCGGGUUUGUCAAGAAGCAUGCUAUGAGACAUGGUCAAUCAAGAUGGGAUUUGCCCCUCUCUGAUUGAGAGUGAUAUCUCUGGGCCCCUCGAGUGAUCGGAUCCGAAAAUGCAUGGCCAUGCUACAUACGGUUAAGAGUUAGCCUACAAAGGGAUUCCGAAUCAUAGGAUCGAGAAAGAGCGGUCGGCUUGAAGCUAGACCAAAUAUCGUGAGGCAAAGGGAAUAGCAUGUAUAUAAUGUUGUGAUGGUUCGUCUGAUAUGAUCUUCGUGUGCGUAUAGGAGUUGGCACGUCUUGCUAGAGGUCGCUACCGACUAUUGGGCCGAGUAGGAGUACUCAGGCCAUGUCUAUACGUAUCCGAACCCAUAGGGUCACACACUUAAGGGGCUGGAAGCCCAAUUCGGAUGUGAUCCGAAUUGGAUUAGGUUUAGAAGUACUAAUGGGCCUUGGACCCAGAGGUCCGUUAGGAACCUCUAUAAAUAGAGGGGUGGGGGCGCCCUAGGGUUUACACCUUUUUGGUGAAACACAUCUGCCGCGCCUCCCACGCCCUCGCCUGUUGCAACUCGCGGACCUAGCAGUCCGGCUUGCGACGCUUCCUCCCUGCACGUGUGGAUACCUUGGAAGUGUUGCUCCUGCAGCACUUGGACGAGCCGCCAAUGAGCCACGACGAGCCACGAUGAGCCGACGAUGAGCCGCGGCACGAGGGGGAUCUUGCUGCACGUGGACGAGCUGCUGAGGAGCUGCUGGACGUCGAUGUGUUCGACUACGUACGACUACGCUGAUCGACUUCGCUGCAUCAACGCGAAUCUACAUCUUCCGCAUCAUUGCAUCGAGUGGUAAUCCCGUGAUCCUGAUACGGCAGUUUUCCUAGUUUACGCGGUAGAAAAUUUUAUUUUGCGCUAGUGUAGCCUACCUCAUAUCCCAACAACGUGUGCUAUAGGUCACGCAAGCCUGAAAAUGGCCACACCGGACACCGGGUACGAAAACAUGGGGGAUGGACCGAACAUUUGAAAAUGGCCUCCAUAUGUGUUUUCGGCUAUGAAAACGUGUGUUAUAGGUCACGGAAGCUUGAAAACGGCCGCACCAGCCACUAGGGACGAAAACGUGGGGGAUGGACCGAAGACAUAAAAAAUAGCCUCCAGACGCGUGUUCGGCCAUGAAAACGUGUGGUAUAGGUCCUGGAAGGCCAAAAACAGCUACACCGGCCACCUGGGAUGAAAAAGUUUGUGUAAGACCGAACACUUGAAAAUAGCCUCUGGACGCGUGUUCGGCUAUGAAAAGGUGUGUUAUAGGUCACACGAGCCCCAAAACAACCACAGCGAACACCGGCUACAAAAACAUGGGGGAUGGAUCGAAUAAUUGAAAAUGGCCUCCAGACGUUUGUUCGGCCAUGAAAUCGUGCGUUAUAGGUCGCGGGAGCCCGAAAACGGCCACACCGGCCACCGGGAAUGAAAAUGUGGGGGAUGGACCGAAUAAUUAAAAAUGGCCUCCGGAUGUGUGUUCGGCCAUGAAAACGUAUGUUAUAGGUCACGGGAGCAUGAAAACGGCCGCACUGGCCACUGGGGACGAAACGUGGGGGAUGGACCGAAGACGUGAAAAUGGCCUCCAGACGCAUGUUCGGCCAUGAAAAUGUGUGCUAUAGGUCAUGCAAGGCCAAAAACAGCUGCACCAACAACCGGGGACGAAACCAUGGCUGUCAAACCGAACGCUUGAAAAUCGCCUUCGGACGCGUGUUUGGAUAUGAAAACAUGUGUUGUAGGUCACGCGUGCCCGAAAACGUCCACAACGGACACCGGGUACAAAAACGUGGGGGAUGGAUCGAAUAACUGAAAAUGACCUCCGAACGCGUGUUCGGCCAUGAAAACGUGUGUUAUAGGUUGCGGGAGCCCAAAAAUGGCCACACCGGCCACCGAGGAUCAAAACGUGGGGGAUUGACCGAACAAUUAAAAAUGGCCUCCGAUUGUAUGUUCGGCCAUGAAAACGUGUGUUAUAGGUCAUGGGGGCCCAAAAAUGGCCGCACCAGCCACCAAGGACGAAAAUAUGGGGGAUGGACCAAAGACAUGAAAAUGGCCUCCAGAUGCAUGUUUGGACAAAAGUGUGUGCUAUAUGUCGUGCAAGGCCAAAAACAGCUACACCAGCCACCGGGACGAAAACGUGGGUGUUUGACUAAACAAGUGAAAAUGGCCUCCGGAAGCAUGUACGGCUAUGAAAAUGUGUGCUAUAGGUAAUGGAAGGCUAACAAAAGCUACACCGGCCACCGGGGACAAAAUCAUGGGUGUCAGACUGAACACUUCAAAAUGGCCUCCGGACGCGUGUCCGGCUAUCAAAACGUGUGUUAUAGGUCAUGCGAGCCCGAAAACAACCACACUGAACACCGGGUACAGAAACAUGGGGGAUGGACUGAAUAACUGAAAAUGGCCUCUAGACGCGUGUUCGGUCAUGAAAACAUGUGUUGUAGGAUGCGGGAGCCCGAAAACGGCCACACCGGCCACCAGGGCAUGGACCAAACAAUUGAAAAUGGCCUCCGGAUGUGUGUUCGGCCAUGAAAACGUGUGUUAUAGGUCACGGGAGCCCAAAAAUAGCCGCACCGACCACUGGGGAUGAAAUCGUGGGGGAUGGACCGAAGAUGUGAAAAUGGCCUCUAGAUGCGUGUUCGGCCAUGAAAACGUGCGCUAUAAGUCAUGUAAGGCUAAAAAUUGCUACACCGGGACUAAAGCAUCCCCCAUGAGUUACAAUAAAAGGAUUGUAUCCUCUACUCAGUCGGAUGUACUGUGUAGGUGAGAUGGUAAGGAAGCUAUGCGCGUGGUUUGAGGUUGUGGGUUGAAAUCCUACGCACCGCGCGCACACGCGCAUAUUUUGUGUGAAAAAUCAUGUGACUUGUGAUCGGCCAAGGAGAAGUGGGUGCAGCUGUGGCUUAAGUGGCUGAGGCACGCUGCCAUAGACAUCUCCGAUUUGCUCGAAGACUACCAAGACACUAGCAAUAACAAGAACUACUGCUCUUCCUAGCAGACUCUUCACAACCACUUUAAAGCUGUGCAUUUCUCAAUGCAAUUUCGUAGAAGGCAAUCGAUCCAACCACGCGACUAAAUCAUUUGUUCUUGCUAAUGAUGUACAUCAGGUUUUCUAUAUGAAGGACAUGUCUAGCAAACCUAAGAUUUUAGAAGAAAAAUAAAAAUUAUGGGAGUCAAUAAUAAAUCAGGCCAAUCAGGAGAUUAUAGUAAGCUCGAUGGUAUGCCUCCAUUCGAUGUCGAAGUUGGCCCAAGCAUCAUGUUAGCCAAAGAUCAAAUGUUCGUGCAUUGCUACGGUAAAGAUCAAUUGUGUCUUUUAAACCCAUGGAAUUUUUUAUCUAUGUUUUUAUUACACUUAAUGGAUGUCUACACAUUUGCUAGAAAAUCAAAAUAAUUUUGACUUAAUUAUUUCUUUCAACUCAAAUACUCAUUAAAUUUCUACCUUUUUAUUUAAGCAAGAGAGUUGCUCAAAAAAUGGAUACGUAACCAUGUUGUAUCAUACAAAGCAACCACAUUUCACAUAUAGUCUGGCUUAGCAAACACCAUUGUUGUCUUAACAUAGUGUUCAUGAGUUAGUAGACAUGGAUCUAUUUCUAAUUGCAAGUAGUGCAGCGUACAACCAGCCUGCACCGCCGCAGCUCAAUAUGCGAUAAUUUUUUAUCUUCCCAUGUAAUUUUUCUACUCUAGUACAUAUUGAACUCCACAUAAAUGUCAUGUUCUUUCACGCCACAGACGGUUUCUAAAGUUUGGGAACUAAAUAGAUAGCCAAAAAUUUUAAAAAAAUAUUUAUAUGGAUACAUGUAUGUUCUUUGCAAACUAACAAUAUUGUUUACAAUAUCAAAAGGAAUAUGGCUAUGAUCAUUGCCGCAUAUGGCAGGUGAUGGUAGAUGCCGUAUGGGGUUUCUUUAACUUAAUUGUAUAAUAAGCUGAAAUACAUUUUCUAUUUGCAAAUGAAUCAUAGCUGAAAGUGGUGGGAUUGUAGAACCGCCGUCCAUCGUGUCCUUGUAGGACCGCUGCACGAGCCUGUGAGCCACCAGCCACCAUGCGCCCAAGGGCCAUCACCACGCCACAAGAGGAUGCUGUCUACCCGGUUUCGCGCGCCUGUGCUAGCUGCCUGAACCUGGGCCGCCGCCGGUCGCCUGCCCAGCCGCGCGUUGCGCCAGGGUUUUGCUGGUGACGACCAUGGCCUUCGCGAUCAAAUUAAAAAGUUAUCAACUGCAAAGUAUUAGGCCUCGUUGAGCUCUACAAUUUUGAUAUAAAGUUUCUAUUCAUCUGAGAUCAAAUAAAAAAUUUGAUACUCAAAACAUAAAUCCAUUAAUCUAGUCUUGCUAAUCCUUACCACCAAAUAAAAAACUAGCAUGUGUUGUGUGUUUGUGACCCUAAACGAUCACAAAUGAAUAACUUAUGGACCUUGCUAGCGCCCGGAUGUCCAGGCCGGGGCACUAGCAUCAGACCCACGAGUAGCCGUCCGAUCGGGUUCGACACCACUUCAGGAUCUGGCUUAAAAAGAAGUCCCACCGAAACAUUGUUCCAUGUUGCAUGAAGCAACCCACUACCGUCGCCAGGUCUAGAGCAAGCACCACCUUCAAAUCUGCUGCUCACCCUAGCUAAAUAGGGGCAUUAAAAUAUUUCUCGCAUAUCCUUCUCAAAUUAAACAAAAUCGCAACAUCUGAAAAUUUUUACAGAAAACCAUGAAACAUAUCGAUUAGAUAGAUGUAACAAGAUGGAAUAUGGUAUAUGCAACAUAUAGGUUCCGAAAAGCAGAUGAAAUAUUAUGUAAUGAUUCUUGAAACAGUCGAGAAAAAUAGAUGUAACAUCUAAAAUUAAGAAAAGAAGCUUUAUGCAAAUUGCAAAAAGCUGAAACAAGUGGUUGAAACAUUUCAAAUCACCAAAUGCCACAUUUGAAAUGACCAGAUGAAACAUCACGAAAUCAAUUGCAACAGUUGAAGAUGAAAACAUUCAAAUGCCUUGCCUUUCUCCAAAUUUGACCCUCCAAGCAUGAGUCCAGCCAUUUGCACAUUAGACCCUUGGGAGGAGCUCACCGGAGAACAACAAGACCGUGUUAUCCAACAAUUUUCAGAUCAAAUUGCAACAUAAAGAACAAAGCAUUGCAACAUCUGGCAUCACGAGCUACAACAGCAACCAGUUAGGAUCAGGAGAAAGAGGGCAAACACAAGCCUAACAAUGAGUUAUAUCCGGUUUAAACAAGGAUAAAAAUGAGUGUAUUUUACACUCAUCAUGUUGUCUUUUCGCAGCUGUACCGCCUUUAGCGUGUUGUAUUGUUCCUAACACCAAGUCUCCGAGGCCCGAAAAAAUAAGGAAAGUGGUAGCAGCUCAGAAAUCGACUAAGUUUCUUUCCCCCUUUGGCUUUCCUACUAGGAUUCGGAAUCCUCUUUUGUAUGACAAUCUUAAUGAUCUCCCAUAGUCCAAAACUCACAAAAACAUCAAAAAUCCACCGAGAAUAAAUUAAGUAAAAAAACAUGCACACACAGAUAAUAAUAGUAAUCAUGUUUCAUUAUGAUUGCUAAGGUCAGACACAAUACAUAAACAUAUUAGACUGAGUGACCCACCUCACCUCAGAGUAUGCACCAUGUCUGAGUGACCCACCUCACCUUGCCAGGACACUGGUCCUGCCCUCGUGGUUCACGCGCCCUCGUGGUUCAGCAGUGGUCAGUACACAAAUCUAGCUGCCAGUCGGAUCCAAGGGCAGGCAUUUGCAUUGUGGUUGUGUUUGAACAUGGAGAUGUCAUUAUUAUUGUCAGGCACCAUACAUCCUCUCUCAGUUUCACUCCGCCUCACACACGGAUAGCACACCAGGGACCCGACACCAUGCAUGCCGAUUUCAUAUUAUUAAUAUUUAAUUUUUUUAAUGGUUGUUGAAACUAUAUUGUUGAUAUUUUUAUACAUAAUUUACGACCUAAUUUGGAUAUAUUUUUGAAAUAUUCCGAAAUCUUAAAUUCACACGUCUAGAGAUACAGUUAGUCCAAUCUGAUGUUUCCGAUUAUAAAAAUGAACAUAAAGAGAUAGGAAGCGAGAGACGUGAGGGGGAAAGUGAAAUUAGGGCCUAAGGGGUGAAGUUAGGGUUCCAGGUGAGCUGUCAUCACUACGUGUUUUUAAUCGAAAUUGGAAUGUCAGCAAUCGUCAGAUCUUGAGCCAACAGUUGAGACUGCCUCGGAAUGGUAAUUAGGUCUGCGCGAGCUUGCAUUGUGGCCUUCCUUGAAACCUUGGACAUAGGUGUUAUAUUAUUAUGUUCUUGCCAGCACACAGCAGACGACACAGUUGAGAUGUGCAUCACAUUUUCUAUAUGAAGGAUAUGUUUAGCAAACCUAAGAUUUUAGAAGAAAAAGAAAAAUCAUGGGAACCAAAGCGCCACAUAGUUCUUCCAGGUAAAAAAAAAUCAUCCACUAGACCAACACAUAUAGUAACGAUCCAAAAAGUCCAUAUUAAGAUUUUUUGAUAGCAGAAAAAACAUAAAAUGUCUAAUAUUUGUAGUAUUAAAAGGAAAAAUAAUAUAUUCACUUGACCUUUUUCCCGUAGCAACGCACCCGGUACGUGGUCAGACUUAAUGCACGAUGCCUAAGCAUCCAUUGGGCCUACCCUCGUGUGGAUCACGCGCAACAGGACACGGCUCACAAGCUAUGAUGUGCAGCAGUCGCUCAGAUGGCUGAAAGGUACCCUUAAUUUGAUGGUACCAUAUAUAUAUAUAUAUAUAUAUAUAUAAACAAGACAAACCACCGUUGAUACUACUUUGCACUACUUGAUACAUAUAUCUCCACCAAAAGCGAGGCACGUGGGGAGGAGACGAUAUGUGGUUGAUGGUACGGGUACGUGACGAGCGCACCGUACGAAAAUUUUGCUCGCGUCGGACGACUGAUGUGAAGCAUUACCCAAUCUUAAUUAUCUCGCAUAAUCCAAAACUCACAACAACAUCAAAAAUCCGUCGAGAAUAAAUUAAGUAAACCAUGCACACACAGAUAAUAAAAUUGCUAAUAAGGCCAGAGACAAUACAUAAACAUAUUAAACUGUUCAUGACACAUAUCACGGUGGAUAGUGUCUGUGUCCUUAUUACAAGCAAUGAGAGAUGCUUGUCACCACACACACGCACAGAUGCACGACAUACAUAUAGUUGAGACCAACAGAUGGAUCAACUAGAGGUCACCCCAUAUGGUGAACAAUUUAUUGGAGAUAAACAUUAACAUAACUUGGCCAUAGCUUGAAGCAUAGCAACAUAUGCCUAUGAACGGCGUUCAUGCUAUCAUUUUAGGCUUGUCCGCUUCUUCCAUCUUAGCAAGCACUUCCAUUUCUACCAUCUUAGAAGCAACUGUCAAAUUGAGAUAUGGAAAUCCCAUUAGCGCAUGAGUUAAUUUUACAGUGAAAAUAGAGUACAAGAUGUCUUCAUGAUGUAAGUAACAUGCCUGAAGUUGUGAGAUGGGAAGUGAAGUCAACAAAUUACAUUAACGGAAAUGCAUGGAAGGCCACACAUACGUAUUAGUCCAUGAUAUGCUACAAAGCUUGUAUGUACAUAUAGCAAAUUAAAUGCAUUAAUUGAAUAGAGUGAGUUUAGUGAAUUUACCAGAAUCGUCCAGAAAACAUGGGAAACAGCAAGUGUUCUUGCAGACUGCGUCGGUGCCACCCACAGCAAUACAACCAAAACAACAUGCUUUUGCCCGAGCGGCUGAGCAGCAGCCGCACUCUGCCGCGGUGGCCGAGUUAGCAUUGAGGCUCAAGAUGACCAGGCACAUGAUCACCAUCAAAGCGGUAGUCCUCUUUCCCUCCAUUGCCUCCUCUUGCUGCUACCUUCCUUGGUUACCUAGCUAAGUUUAUUGGUUUUGUGUUGAGAGGUGAUUCUUGCAUUGAAUGGACGUUGCCGCGGCUGCAAUUUAUAGGCAGCUGCGCUAUGUGAUGAUAUGGACAAGGUGCAAAUGGGUGGUCCUGAUAUGGAUAAGGUGCAUGCGAAUGGCUGUCUACUUGUAUAGUGUAGCUCCAAUGUACAUACGUAUGUAUCUUAUGCAUGUAUACAGUUGAUGGAUGUACAUGUUUGUUGCACAAAUUCUGAACCAACUCUUCAUAACAGGUCUUUGUUACCAAGUAAUUUUACUUUUGCACGUUUCAGCCGAGAGGCAGAAGAGAAUAUUUUACAGAGAGGGCAGAGAAGGAGGUUGGCGGAGGCGCCGUGGUAGGGUUCCCCGUGUCGCCAAGAUUUUUGCAUUUUACAUGUGUGCAUUGAUCACUUCGUCGUGCUCGCGGGGCCCAACUCCAGGUUGUACCCCAGCAGACCACGUUCUGUUUCUCUGCCUCCAAUGAGCAUGCAUGCCUCCACAAGGACCACAAGACUUAGUAAAAAAGCUAAACUUUGCAACACGAUGUAUACAGAACGUUUUGAAAUGUACUCUCGUUAGGCAUUCACCUCCUUAACAAUCACUGCGACUGUAAAAUAGGUACAUCGACGCUAGCUAAAUAAACCACUAUAAGAUUUAGCAAGAGAUCAUUUUAUACAAUCCUGUAACGAAACAAUUUGACAAUUAUAGUGUCCAUAUAUUUUGACAAAAAAACGUUUAAAUUAUAUAAGGAGGUGGGCCCGAAAACGGUUGGAUUACAUCGAGAACGUUUUGAAACAGUUGGCGGAGCAGGAUUCUGGCGUGGAGCAUCUACAUUGUCGCGCGCGCGGACUGCCGGAGUAGGCACGCUCGACUUGUCCCAUCGCCAGCUAAAUGAUUUAGUACCGGAUGGUCUCUAGUACCGGUUGGAGCCACCGUCCACCGGGAGCUUUCCUAGUUUGGAACUGGUACUAAUGCUAAUAUUAGUAUCGGGUCAAAAACAAUCGGUACUAAGGCUAGGGAUGACACGUCAUUUUUCUAGUAGUGUGUGCAAUUGGUUUUGUAAUUAGUCUAUAUUUAAUACUUCUAAUUAGUAUCUAAAUAUUUUAUGUGAUAGGGACUGAACUUUAGUCCGUGGAACCAAACACCCCAUAAGUAUGUUUGGUGCUGUAAGGAUUUCCUAAGGUUUUAUUUAAUUUCCUAGGCAUUUAAAUUUCUUUCUAAAAUAAGUUAAUGAAUCAUAGGAUCUCAUUGUUGUAUUCAAGCUGGUGCAUUGAUUUUGCCUAUAAAACCCGCUGUGGUCUUCGCAGCCCCCAUCAAACCCUAGCGCCCUUGCCACAAGCUCAGCACCGCUGCCGCCCGAGCUCGAGCACUAGCACCCACCCAUCGUCGUUGCCUUCCCGUCGAUGGGAUCACCGCCCGGAGCUUCGCAUCGUGGUAAGGAAGCCGCCCGUGAAGAUCCCAUGUGCUCCUAUGCCCUCUACCGUGUCCCCGAGUUCCCGAAGUUGCUAGUCUCCUACUGAGCCGACUCUCCGAGCUUCACGUCACCGGUGCCGCUCCGAAGACCUAGUUCGGUUCGCCGUGCACCUCGCUUCAUCCUGAGCUAAACCCCAUAAUGAAUGGUGGCCGGAUGCUCGCCGCCACGGCGCGUCGUCUUUUUUGUUGCCCGUGCAUUGCCUAUCCCCUUCCAGCCGAUUGCAGCUGUCCAAUCGCAAACCGAUGGCCCUGAUCGGAUACCAAGGUCAAUACCGGUCGAACCGAGCCGUGCACUGCUUUUGCAAGAAGGCUCCUGUUUUUCUCUCUUUUUGCACCUGAGGUCCUACGCAGUUCAAAAGUAAUAAGAUCUAGGUCCUUUUUCUUUUGUUUUAGCCCGUGUUCUUUUAUAAAAUCCCGCCCACUAUUCUGUUUGGUCUUUUGACGCGUUAGACCUUCUGUUUAUAUGUUUAAUUAGGUUUUAGGUCUCGAUUUCUUUAAGUUUAGCCCUUGAAAGUUUAGUUCUCUCGCAGUUAAGCCCCUGAACCUUGUUUAGCUCAUAUCUUAAGCGUUUUAAAUCCGUUUUAACAGAUUCUUGCGCCUAUAAGUUCAUGUUGACGCAUAGAUUAGUUGACUUAUAUGAACCUUGCUGAUUAAGCUCCUUGAUUGUGCCUCAGAUCUCGCUAGGGAAGAAUAAUGGAUGGGCUUUGGUUGAGCUUGUAGAUCGACUUGCAGUUGCAGUGAAUGAGCAGAGGAUUGGCAGUGAAUAAGAGGCCGCUGCCCUGCUUGGUAGGGAAAAUAUCUGCUUGCUACCAAGGCCUGUGACGCAUGGACCCCAUUGAGAGUGCAUUAUUGACAAGGACUUAAAGCCAAGGGCUCCACACCUGUCAUUGAUCAGCUGUCUGCUGGGCGCUGCAAGGAGGUAGUGCAUGUUUGACAUAAAGAAGCAGGUGGCCCAGGAUUUACGAAGAAUAAGGAUCUAUUUGAUACCCUUGCUUAUAUUUAGGGGCUAAAAGUUGCUUAUUUGAAGUUGCUUAUUUUUAAUCCUAGCUGUUUGAUUGCAUGGGCUAAAGAGCAUUGAAUGAGGUGGACAUUGUCAUGUUUGCCUCUAAUGAUUACUUCCCAUCACAUUUCUCCCCCCUCAUUCAACGAGGGAAGGAGGUGUAAAGUGCACCUUUUAGCCUCGAUAAGCAACCCUUGUGUUGUUUACGGGCUGAACAUAAGUAGCUAAAGUUUAGCUCCAAUAAACAAGAGUGUUUGGUAUUUUUGGGGUUAAAAGGGGCUAAACUUUAGCUGCUUAUGCAUAAGCAAGGCCAUCCAAAUAGGCCCUAAGUAUGUUUGGCGUUGUAAGUAGGUUUUAUUUAAUUUCCUAGGCAUUUAAAUUUCUUUCUAAAAUAAGUUAAUGAAUCAUAGGAGUUCAUUGUUGCAUUCACGCUGGUGCAUUGAUUUUGCCUACAAAACCUGCUGCCGUUUCCGCAGCUCCCAUCAAACCCUAGCACCCCCGCCACGAGCUCCAGCGCCGCUGCCGCCCGAGCUUGAGCACUAGCGCACACCCAUCGCCGUCACCUUCCUGUCAAUGGGAUCACCGCCCGGAGCCCGCAUCAUGGUAAAGAAGCCGCCCGUGAAGAUCCCGUCCGCUCUCGUGCCCUCUACCGCGUCCCCGAGUUCACCGGAGUUGCCAGGCCACCACCCAGCCGCCUCUCCGAGCUUCAUGUCGUCGUUGCCACUCUAGCUGCCACUCUGAAGACCUAGAUCGGUUUGCCGUGCACCCCGCUUCAUCCUGAGCUAAACCCCAUCAUGCCACGUCAUAGUAAGGAAGCUGCUCAUGAAGAUCCCGUGCGCUCCCGUGCCCUCUACCGCGUCCCCAAGUUCACUGGAGUUGCUAGUCCGCCACCGAGCUGCCUCUCUGAGCUUCACUUCAUCGUCACUGCUCCAGCCGCCACUCUGAAGACCUAGAUGAGUUCACUGUGCACCCCACUUCAUCCUGAGCUAAACCCCAUGACGAACUGUGGUCGGAUGCUCGUUUUCGAGCGAAUUCCGGCGAGAUGGUCACCCGCCGCCGCCGUCUCCGUCGCCCAUGCACCGCCUGUCCCCUUCCAGCCGAUGUCCGGUUGCAAACCGAUAGCCAAAAUCGGAUCUGGUCACCAGGAUUAAUACCGGUCAAACUGAGCCACGUGCGCCGCUUUUGCAAGAAGGCCCCUAUUUUUCCCUCUUUUUGCACCUGAGGUCCUACGCAGUUCAAAAGUAAUUAGAUCAGGGUCCUUUUUCUUAUGUUUUAGCCCAAUUCUUUUAUAAAAUCCCGGCUGCCAUCCUGUUCGAAAUAGAUACGGUUAUAGAUAUGCAAACAUCUGCAUAUUUCCAACCGUAUCUCUUUUGAAUGGGAGACGCCUAACUAGGUUACGUGACAUACGAACAUCAUACGGAUAGAGAGGGGUAGGAUGCCUCACCUUGCUAUCCUACAAAGUGACGACUCGAGGACGGUAAUGUAGCCUCUCCUGCAAAAAAAGAACAUACUACUAUCAAGUUAAAUUUUCGACAGCACCUCCCCUGCACGUGGAGGUUUCCAUAACCUGCAUCAAAUAAAACGGCACGAUGGCUGACAACCACAUCUACAGCACCAGAAUGGCAUGAUGGCCGACUUCCACAUAAAGUUCUUAUACCUUAGAUUGCCAAGUCAAACAUCCUUUUCUAAUUUCUAAAACAAAAGCCCUACCACCUCUCUAUCUUAUUUCCUAUGGGCUNNNNNNNNNNNNNNNNNNNNNNNNNNNNNNNNNNNNNNNNNNNNNNNNNNNNNNNNNNNNNNNNNNNNNNNNNNNNNNNNNNNNNNNNNNNNNNNNNNNNNNNNNNNNNNNNNNNNNNNNNNNNNNNNNNNNNNNNNNNNNNNNNNNNNNNNNNNNNNNNNNNNNNNNNNNNNNNNNNNNNNNNNNNNNNNNNNNNNNNNNNNNNNNNNNNNNNNNNNNNNNNNNNNNNNNNNNNNNNNNNNNNNNNNNNNNNNNNNNNNNNNNNNNNNNNNNNNNNNNNNNNNNNNNNNNNNNNNNNNNNNNNNNNNNNNNNNNNNNNNNNNNNNNNNNNNNNNNNNNNNNNNNNNNNNNNNNNNNNNNNNNNNNNNNNNNNNNNNNNNNNNNNNNNNNNNNNNNNNNNNNNNNNNNNNNNNNNNNNNNNNNNNNNNNNNNNNNNNNNNNNNNNNNNNNNNNNNNNNNNNNNNNNNNNNNNNNNNNNNNNNNNNNNNNNNNNNNNNNNNNNNNNNNNNNNNNNNNNNNNNNNNNNNNNNNNNNNNNNNNNNNNNNNNNNNNNNNNNNNNNNNNNNNNNNNNNNNNNNNNNNNNNNNNNNNNNNNNNNNNNNNNNNNNNNNNNNNNNNNNNNNNNNNNNNNNNNNNNNNNNNNNNNNNNNNNNNNNNNNNNNNNNNNNNNNNNNNNNNNNNNNNNNNNNNNNNNNNNNNNNNNNNNNNNNNNNNNNNNNNNNNNNNNNNNNNNNNNNNNNNNNNNNNNNNNNNNNNNNNNNNNNNNNNNNNNNNNNNNNNNNNNNNNNNNNNNNNNNNNNNNNNNNNNNNNNNNNNNNNNNNNNNNNNNNNNNNNNNNNNNNNNNNNNNNNNNNNNNNNNNNNNNNNNNNNNNNNNNNNNNNNNNNNNNNNNNNNNNNNNNNNNNNNNNNNNNNNNNNNNNNNNNNNNNNNNNNNNNNNNNNNNNNNNNNNNNNNNNNNNNNNNNNNGACAUUCCCAGGCCCGUCAAGUCCAUCACCGCACGCAGUCGAAUCCCGAAAUUUCCGCCAUCUUUUUCCCCUCCCUUCCCUCUCUUUCCCUUCCUUCCUUCUUUUUCCUCCCCUUUCUUUCCCUUCUCUUUUUCCUUCUCUUUCUUCCUCCUCUCCCUUUUUCCUUUUCUUCUCUCUCUUCUUUUACUUCCCUGCCACCUUCCCACUGGCGCUGCACACCCCCCCACUGCCUGGCACGCGCGUCGGGCCGCGCGCCCGCGCCCGCGCCCGCCGCCGCGUCGCGCCGCCCGUGCCACGCCCGCUCGCGCCUUGGCGUCUAGCGCUUGGCUCGGUGCGUCGCGUCGUGUCGCCGGUCACCGGUCGCCGCCCCUGUGGCCUCGUCGACCACGCCGCCACGCCAUCCACGAGCUCCACCACUCCGGCACGCCACCGGUCAAAAGUCCGGCCACCAUCAUUACCUCGGCCCUCGCCCGCCCGUGCGCCGCCUAUAAAAGGGGGGAGCCGAGCCUUCACCUCCACACCCUCACCACGAGCACCUGGCCUUCCUCCACUCCCACCACCAGAGCGCCGACGACCAUCUUCCUCUCAACCUUCUGUUGCCUCCAGGAAGAAGAAGGGGUAAAUCCCUCUCCUUGCGAUCCAACCCACCAAUUUCCCUGAUUCGCGGACAAGUCCUUCCACCAUUCCAAAAAUAAUUACAGAUAGGCCCCUGCUCUCGCGGUUCAGUCCUAAACCCCGUUUUAAAGCCCAUAAUACUCCUUUAAACCGUCAUUUCAUGCGCCAAAUUUCCUCCAAUCCACCCCAAAUUCGACCACAGCCUCCUCUCAUAUAUUCCCGCCGAGGCUUAUCGAAAUUCCAUGAAAAUACCCUGUCUAUCUAUUUUCCGUUCAUGUUUCCUGUUCGGAGCUCAGCGGGUAAAAUCUUUUUCCUUUGUAUUUAUUGUGUGCUCGUUUGUGUGUGCCGUAGAUUGUGGAGUACCCGAGGAGGAGCGCGAGGAGGAGUUCGACCGCGAGCCCGAGCCCGAGGACCCGUACCGCGAGCAGGAGCUCCCGGAAGGCUUUGAGAACGGCAAGUCCAAUCUCACCCUUUGAUGCAUAUUUAAUACCCAGUUUUUCAGACACAACCUAUUGGCCUGUUUUAUAACAUGCAUAUUGUUUUAUCGCAAGACAUGGUUGGAUAGCCACCCCUUGAUUGUUAUGACUAUUCCUUGAUUGUCCCAUAUUUAUCUCUAAAUAUGAGUUACUCUGUUUAGAUGAUAAAUACUGCUAGAAUGCUUAGGAACUCAUUACCCAAAUUCAAACUUGACUACACCUGUUUACUCGGAAAAUAAUGUGUGAGUAUGUUUAACUGAGGAGUUGGGUUUUCGGGUGUAAAGAGAGGUGGUGGAUGAGAUGGAUGGGUGUUUCUUGUGUGGAACGCCGGGUUGAUAGGCUCGUACCUCAGUGGUUGGGCAGAGUGGGAGAUAUCCAUCUUGUCAUGGCUAAGGACCGAGUUGAUGUGUCAUCCUGCCUAAUUCCAUCAUCGUACAACCACUCGACCGUUGUAUGGGCAACGGCUUAGCAUAAAUCCCACUAGCUAAACUGCUAGGCUUCAGGUGUGCUGGUGAGCAACGGGAGGCCUUGGAAACGGACUAAGCUCUUGGUGACUUAGGUCCCGGUUACGGCCCCGUGGAUGGGUUGCUAACCCCUUGAGCGCUCCUAUGUUGACUAGUCAGUGUUGGCUAAGGUGGGUAAUGGCUUUGAUAGGAUCCGUACCGACACUAAGGUGAUCGCGAUACGGUUCCCUACUUGUGGGAAAAGUGUACAACCUCUGCAGAGUUAAAACCUAUCCGGGUAGCCGUGUCCACGGCAUUGGACGAGUUACGGCUCGGUCACACAACUAGCUUUUGGGGAUGACUGGUAUUUUUUUACCGCGUGUGUGGGUGUGUGGAGUUUUGGAAGUGUCCGGCAGGUGUGCCGUGCGCUACGGCGGACGGGGAGUCCGGUAGCGAUAAAACUUGGAUCCUUUGUGUAGGAUCAACCCCACUUGAUAUGUUGUUUACUAAAAAUGUUUUCCAUUAAACCGCUUUGAAAUGGAACCCCGCAUGUGUCUAAAAAGUCAGCUUUACUGCAAAUAAACCAUAGCUUAUUCCUUGAUUAUUCAUAUGCAUAUUCUUGUUGUAUCCCCCUCCGUGGAUGGGGUUGGACUUGCUGAGUACUUUUGUACUCACCCUUGUGUUGUUACUUCAGAGGAGGAUCCGGACUUCGUCGCCGAGGACUUUGAGUAGGAGGUUGCGUCUGCACCCAACGCUGCCUGUGGUGUUGGCCCUUUUGCAGGAUGCUUCCGCUGACGCUUAGCUCCGAUUGCAGCCCGGAGUCCGACUGGACCGCAACUUGGAUUUGUGUUGUUAUCGCUUUAGUCUUGCUUUGGGUGUGGCUUGCCCGCCCGCUCCUUCGGGAGCUGUACGGUUUCUGAACUAUCUGUUGAAUAAAUGUGUUAUCAGCCUCCUGGGACUGAUAAUUUGGAUCACAUUUAGUCUCUACUUAUGUGGGGACGCUUCACCGUGACAUACUUUGCCAAGUGUGUAGCGAAAACACUCGGCAAAAUAUUAUCUUUACCGAGUGUUUUCACUAGAUACUCGGCAAAGUACACUUAUAUUUCAUGUACACUUUUUCAAUAACGUGUUUUACUAACCUUUUUCUGAUAUACUUGGGAAAAACCUUGUCAAAUUCACUCAACAAUGGAUAUAUGAUUUUUCUAUUGAUAUUAUUCCAUUAUUUCAUUCAGUUAUAGCUCAAAUUGAAUUUAUAUCUAUUAAAAAUCAAUAAUUGCAUUUAAUAAAUAAAAAUACCAAACGGAUCCGAAAAAUUUCCAAAAUUUGACAUGAACCAAUCUAUGUUGUAUGUUGCCUGUACAAAAAGCUUUGAAGUCAAACCCCAAUUCAAGUGUCACUUGGACUCCAAAUCUUAUCGGAUCCUUUCUAACUUCUAUGAAUCCUUUUGGGAGAUGAGUCGGUUUGUAAGCAUCAUAUGUCAGAAAUUGGGCGAAACCUUCUCAAUUUUUUACCACAGCCUCCACAUAUAAUAUCAUGACACCUUGACAAAUCUUAUGAUUUUCAGACUUCGUUUGCUUUUUCUAGAAUUUAACAACCAUUCAACCACAUGUUCGUGAUCGUGUUUUCUAAAAAGAAUGUUCAAAAUUUCUUUUCAUUUCCUGGUUGAGACCUCAAUCCGGAUUGAAUAAUAUGAAUAUGAUUUUUUCACUGAUUUUAAUCCAUUAUUUAAAUCACUUGCAGUUAAAAUUUGACUUAAAUAAACAAAUUCCUAUUAAUGCCAUCAAUUCAUUAAAAAUGGCAAACAGACAAAAAAUAGACCAACUUUUAAGAUGGAUUACCAAAUGUCAUAUAUGGGGAGUAGAAAAAGUGUGGAGAGCAGAGGUGGAAAAAAAAGUUUUGCCUUUGCCAAGUGCCUACACAAACACUCAACAAACUUUGCGGAGUGCCUAUUGAAAACACUCAGCGAACUUCUGAGUUUGCCGAGUGUCUAGAGGGAGCACUCGGCAACCUACUUAUUUGCCGAGUGUCCGCGUCGGACACUCAGCAAAGUACUAACGGCUGGCACACUCCCCUAACGGACGGCGCACGUGCGAGCCAUGUGCUGGAGAUUUAUCGAGUGUCAAAUCGUUGCGAGUGUCGUGUGGAUGUUUGUCGAGUGUCUUAUUUGCGACACUCGGCAAAGCUAUUGUUUGCCGAGUGUAUUAUUUAUGCCGAGUGUCUUCCAGUAUACACUCGGCAAAUGAUGUCUUUGCCGAGUGCCCGACAUAAAGCACUCGGCAAAAAUUUUACACUCGGCAACGUUCCUGUUUCCGGUAGUGAGUGACCCGGGACUAAAGACCCCUCUUGUCUCUAAUUGCUUUAUUCCGGAUGGAUUUUCAGGAGAUUUGCUCCCUACCUAGGCAAGUUUUCUACUUUUCGCAAACCAGUUAGCCCAUUGUUGAUGGGACGCAUCACUAGAAACAGCUCGGGAUCCACUUGUCCAAUAAUCGAGAGGGCCUAUAUGGACCACGUGUGCGGAUCCCUAAUUAGGAAAAAAGAAUAAUGGAGUAGGACAUCUCCAUGCUCACCUAGUAGCCGCUGCUAGCUUGUGCGUGUGGAACACGAGUGCCGGCCCAGUUGGCGCUAAGACAUCGUACGUGCAUUAAGGCUACGAUCUCUUCCUUCUAACUCAUGCUUGUGCUAUUAUACAUUAUUGCAUGAUCAUCAAGAUAAGAUCGUAUAGUGACUGAGUGAGACAUGUGUGUACUAACGUGCAUUUAAGCCUCGAACUGUGUGUUGUUACGUGAGCUGCCUCCUCACCUCGCCUCUGAAUUAUUGAACCGUUUCCAACAGUGUUGGUCUCAAAUAAAUUUGACACCAAACAUAUUUAUGAAGAAGAGAGAAUAAUACUUGGAAUUGGAAAAAGUUUAUCUCUCUUUACAAUGGGGUAGGGCUCCCCUUUUAUAGUGACCCAUGAGCCACUUUACAUUUGGAAAAUAUCCUUCCUCAACCACUACAUUAAUUCCUAGGAUAUGCCGUACAUAAAGGUCAUUUGAGGUAACGUGUACAAAUUGAACUCUUCCACAUGGUCACGUUUCUCAUACCUCCUGUUUUCCAACCUCAGAGACAUCAUCUUCACGCCAAGUUGAUCAUCUAGCCUCAAGGCUCCAUCCACGAUCCGGAAUGAACGUCCAGCCUUGAGGCUCCUUCUUCGUUAAGCUUUGUUGAGAACUCAUAACCUCACAUAGUUCUCCUCACUGGUAGAGAAUUGACCUUUAGUCCCGGUUGGUAGGGUGCAUAUCUCUCGGAUAUCCAUCCGGGAUAAACCAACCGGGACAAAAGGGGGGGUCUUUAGUCCCGGGUCACUCAACCGAGACAAAAGACCCCCUUUUAUCCCGGUUGGUAAUACCAACCGGGAUAAAAGGGGUCACCCACGGCCGGCAGCUGCAAAAAAAAAAAAAUUCCUGAGCUCCCGGGAGGCCCCCCACACGCGCAAGUCACAAGUCACAAGUCACGCAAUUUUUCACGCGAAAUAUGCGCGUGCGCGGUUCGUGGGAUUCGAACCCACAACCUCCAGCCUCGCGCGUAGCUUCCUUGCCAUCCCACCUACACACCACAUCUGACUAUGUAGGGGAUACUAUCCUUUUGUAUUAACUCGUGGGGGACCCUUUUAUCCCGGUUGGAAACACCAACCGGGAUAAAAUGCCUCUCAGAGUCUUUUUUUCCCACUAGCCUUUGCAACCGGGAUAAAAGGUCCCGGUUGGUGAGCCCCCCACCAGUGACCGAGUUUUAGUCCCGGUUGGUGAACCUUUUGUCCCGGGCCAACUUUAAACCGGGACAAAAGGGGGCGGAUGGAAAGUCGUUUCUCUACUAGUGCCUCCGAGUAUUGUUCCCGACUUAGAACACUCGAGGUUUAGCUCAGUUGGAGUUUAGCUAUUACUGUUGCCAGUCACCAGCCUCGAGCCCCUCCAGAAGCAAGGUGAUGCGAGAGUACAAGUUUUACUAUUAAAGGUGUUUCCAUAUAAUGUGCGAGGUUAAAGCACUUGCAGCAAAAGCGUGGAGCUGCUUUCAACCAGAGUGCAAUAAUGCAGCCGUGCCCGUCUUGGUCUUGGUCUCCGCCUGAACUAUAGCAGAUGCUGGCAGCGGUAGCAGGGUGGUCCAUUAUAUCUAUGGAUGGCAAUGGUCAGAUUCGGAUGGAAUCAAAUUCGAAUAGCACUUUUUACCACGUACUAAUUCAAAUCCGAAUUCGGAUUCGGAUGUUCUCGAAUGCGAAUACAAAAUGGAUGGUUCGAAUUCGAAUACUUAGCGGAUUUUUGCAUAAUAUUAAUCGAAUAGAAUUCAUUAAAUUUAGCUAAGAAAUUAAAUUUUCCAAAUUCAAAUACUUUGCGGAUUUUCGAAUACAAAUUUUUUCAUACGAUCUCGGUGAAUACAAACUUUAUAACUAAGUUGCAUAUUUAGAUUGUAUCUAACACUUUGUACUUGACAUCCUUUUCAUUUAAAAUUGUUUAAUAGCUCAAAACAUUAUUCUAAGCUCUCUAAUUUCAAAAUCUUGAAUUUUAAAUUUUUCAAACGACCUCGGAUGCAAACAAACUCUAUAUCAAAGUGGUAGUGCUUAAUGAGAUAUAAAUUUUGUAGUUGAUAAGUUUUUCAGUUGAAAUCAUAUAGUUACCGCAAACAUACAAGUUCUUCAUUUGAUGUUAAGGAUUGGAAGGGUUAAGUUUGAAGAAUAUAUUUUUUUACCACAAACUUUUUCAUAUGAUCUUGGAUGAAUAUGAACUUUAUUUUAAAGUUACAGAUUUAGAUUAGAUCAAAACCAUUAUAGUUUACAAAUUUUUCAUUCAAAAUUAUUAGUAGCUCAAAAUGUUAUUAUAAGCUCUCUAAUUUCAAAAUCUUGAAUUUUAAAAUUUUCAAACGACCUCAGAUGCAAACAAGCUCAAUAUCGAAGUGGUAGUGCUUAACGAGAUAUAAAAUUUUGUAGUUUCAUCUGAGAUCAUUUAGCAGUCACAAACAUACAAGUUUUUCAUUUGAUGCUAAGGAUUAGAGAGAUUAAAUUUGAAGGUUGUAUUUUUUAAUACAAACUUUUGCAUACGAUCUCGGAUAAAUACAAACUUUAUAUCAAAAUUGUAGACCUCCAUGAGAUUUUAAACUUUGCAGUUUACAUAUUUUUCAUUCGAGAAUGUUUAGUGGUCCAAAAAUGUAUUAUAAGUUCAGAGAAGAAACACACGUCUAGGCACAUCAUCAAUCCACAACUUUCAAACCCAGCAUUCCUAUUGACUCACACCCUUCCCUUUCAACUUGUCAAGCUUAUCUCCUCCCACUCCUCCAUGGUUCACUCCACCUACCCCUCCCUCCCUUCGCCCCAGCGGCGGCCUAACUCCCAGGACGGUGGCGUGCGGGGCCCGAGCAUCCCUGGCCUCUAGUGGCGUGGCGGGGCGGCAUCCAGCAGCAGCGGCGGGGCUCGGCCUCCGGUGGCGCGCGGCCAGCCCGACCUACCCGGUCAGAGGUGGCGCAGCGGUGCGCGGGCCUCCCCGACCAGAGCCGGUGGGGAGCGGUGCGCGGGGAGGACCUCCCCAGCCGGAGGUAGCAGGGCGCGACCUCCCCUUCCGGAGGUGGCUCCCUGUGGGGGCGCGGCCGUGACAGCUAGCGAGGCAAUAAUUGCUUCCGUACGCAGCAAUAAUUGCUCGUGCGACACCGUGGUACAGUACUCCCUCCGUUGCAGUACACUGGUCCAGGCGUCAGGACACUGGUCCUGCCCUCGUGGUUCACGCGCAUCAGGCCAGCAGACAAGCUAUGAUGUUGCCCUCGUGGUUCACGUGCAUCAGGCCAGCAGACAAGCUAUGAUGUUGCCAACAGUGGUCAGUACACAGAUCUCGCUAUCAGUCGGAUCCAAGGGCGCAGGCAUUUGCAUUGUGGUUGUGUUUCUUGGAACAUGGAGAUGUCAUUGUGAUUGUCAGGGACCAUGCAUGCCGAUUUCAUAUUAUUAAUAUUUAUUUUUUCAAUGGUUGUUGAAACUAUAUAGUUACUCCAAUAUCACGUUUCCGAUUAUAAAAGUUAACAUAAAGAGAUCGGAAGGGAGAGCCGGCAUAAUGAAGCCGACGCGUAUAAUAAGCACUACAGCCGGCAUUUAUACAAACGGGUACGCAUAGUAAAAACUAGAAUUUAUAAAUAAAUGAAGAUAUUCAAAUAUCUGCCUUACUUUUUUCAUUAAUUUUGCAUGAAUAAGGGAUGAUUCAUUAAUCAUUAUUGAACAAAUUGGCACACAUGCUUCGUGCCCGCGUUGGGAGCAUUAUGCGAUGCCACCGAGCUGCACCACCACGGUAGAGGGCCUGUUUGGGAAGGGGUGUUAAAGUUUAACACCCCCCAUUUAACACAUUUUUAACAAAAUGGCUGCCAAACACUUGUGUUAAAAGAGUAGUGUUAAAAUUUAACACCUCUCUUUUCAUAAACACAUGGAGGGGGUGUUAAAAUUUGCUAAAUGUGUUAAAAGUGGUCCCCUCCCCACUUAUUCCUUGGUUGCCCCCCCCUCUCUCCUCCUCUCUCUCCUACCCGCCGCAUUUAAGAGCAUUAUUGAGGGGUAAUGCAGUCCUUUUCCAACAAAAGUGUUAAACUUUAACAACCCAUCCAAACAUCCCACAUGUGUUAAAGUUUAACACCUCAUUUGAGGGUGUUAAAGUUUAACACCCUGUUAAACUUUAACACCCCUUCCCAACUUAACACCCCUUCCCAAACAGGCCACAAGCAACACCACCGGCUGACUGUGCUAGCGGGGAGCACCCUCACCGCCUGCCCGUGGGGACUUCUUCUGCCGGCCAUCGUGUCUUUGUAGGACCGCCGCGCGAGCCUGUGAGCCACCGGUGGCCGUGCGCCCAAGGGCCAUCACCAUGCCACCUGAGGAUGCUGUCUACCCGGUGCCGCGUGCCUCUGCUAGCUGCCUGCACCUGGGCCGCCGCUGGUCGCCUGCACAGCCACGCGUUAUAGCCGCCCCCCUGUGCUGGGCCACCCCAUUUCGUGUUGGAAGAACUGCCACAGUCUCGCGCACUGGGGUUUUGCUAGUGACGACCAUAGCCUCCAAGAUCAAAUGAAAAAGUUGGCACUCAAAAUAUACAUCCAUUAAUCUAGUCGUGCUAAUCCUUACCACCAAAUAAAAACUAGCAAGUGUUGUGUGUUUGUGACCCUAAACGAUCACAAAUGAAUAACUUAUGGGCGUUGCUAGCCUAUAAGUUAUGGGCGUUUGUGACCCUAGUCGCGCCGGGGUCUUGCUGGUGACGACCAUGGUCUUCGCGAUAAAGUAUUAAGUCUCAUCGAGCUCUACAAUUUUGAUAUAAAAUUUCUAUUCAUCCGAGAUGAAAUGAAAAACAAAUGAAAAAAUCCGAAGUAUUAGGCUUCAUCGAGCUCUACAAUUUUGAUAUAAAAUUUCUAUUCAUCCGAGAUCAAAUGAAAAAAUCCGAGAUCAAAUGAAAAGUUGGAACUCAAAACAUACAUCCAUUAAUCUUGAUAUAAAAUUUCUAUUCAUCCGACAUCAAAUGAAAAAGUUGGCACUCAAAAUAUACAUCCAUUAAUCUAGUCGUGCUAAUCCUUACCACCAAAUAAAAAAACUAGCAUGUGUUGUGUGUUUCUGACCGUAAACGAUCACAAAUGAAUAACUUAUGGGUGUUGCUAGCAUCCCGGACGCUAGCAUCGGACGCAUGAGCAGCCGUCCGAUCGGGUCCGACACCACUUCACGAUCUGUCUUAAAAAAAAGUUCCACCGAAACAUUUUUCCAUGUUGCAUGAAAUACCCCACUAUCCAUCGCCAGGUCUACAGGAAGCACCACCUUCCAAUCUGCUGCUCACCCAAGUAAAUAGGGGCAUUAAAAUUGCAGAAAUAUGUCACAUAUCCUUGUCAAAUUAAACUAAAUCGCAACAUCCAAAAAUUUCUUACACAAAACCAUGAAACAUAUCGAUUAGAUAGGUGUAACAAGAUGGAAUAUGGUAUGCAACAUAUAGAUUCCGAAAAACGGAUGAAACAUUAUGUAACGAUUGUUGAAACAGUCGAGAAAAAUAGAUGUAACGAUUAAAAUUUAGAAAAGAAGCUUUAUGCAAAUUGCAAAAAGCUGAAAUAAGUGGUUGAAACAUUUCGAAUCACCAAAUGCCACAUUUGAAAUGGCUACAUGAAACAUCACGAAAUCAAUUGCAACAGUUGAAGAUGAAAACAUUCAAAUGCCUUGCCUUUCUCCAGAUUUGACCCUCCAAGCAUGAGUCCAGCCAUUUGCACAUUAGAACCUUGGGAGGAGCUCACCAGAGAACAACAAGACCGUGUUCUCCAACAAUUUUCUGAUCAAACUGCAACAUACAAAACAAAGCAUUGCAACAUCUGGCAUCACGAGCUACAACAUCAACAAGUUAGGAUCAGGAGAAAGAGGGAAAACACAAGCCUAACAACCCCAAGACGAAACUGAUGUACUCAUCAUACAUCACGGCUUGCCGUGCACAGAGAUGAAGGCCGCCAAGCUCAAUCGAAACAGAGACGACGUGAUAGUGCUCCAGAUCGACGGUCCCCAUCAAUUGUUGCGUACACUGCCAAAAGCAAUGGAAGAAGAAGGGUCGUCCCUGCUCGACCUCCGUAGAUGAGCGCAGAUUGGGGGAAACUGUAUAGAGUGCCGCUGACAGCACAGGCGAGGGGGCUCAGGCUUGAUUCAGGGUGAGGGUAGCGGGUAGCAUGAGGAGACAGUCAGGUUUCAUAGGAGAGAGGUGGAGGAGAGAGCUCUGGUGACUCGGUGAGGAGGGUGCGGCACGGAGAAAGGUGUGUAGCUGAAGGAGCUACAUGGUUGGGGGGAGGCGAGCGUAGAGACCAGAGAGGGAAAAAAAGCAUGGGGAGGAGACGAUAUGUGGUUGAUGGUGCGGGCACGUGGCGAGCGCACCGUACGAAAAUUUUGCUCGCGUCGGAUGACUGAUGUGAAGCAUUACCCAAUCUUAAUUAUCUCCCAUAAUCCAAAACUCACAAAAACAUCAAAAAUCCGCUGAGAAUAAAUUAAGUAAACCAUGCACACACAGAUAAUAAAAUUGCUAAUAAGGCCAGAGACAAUACAUAAACAUAUUGGACUGUUCAUGACACAUAUCACGGUGGAUAGUGUCUGUGUCCUUAUUACAAGCAAUGAGAGAUGCUUGUCACCACACACGUGCGCACAGAUGCACGACAUACAUAUAGUUGAGACCAACAGAUGGAUCAACUAGAGGUCACCCCAUAUGGUGAACAAUUUAUUGGAGAUAAACAUUAACAUAACUUGGCCAUAGCUUGAAGCAUAGCAACAUAUGCCUAUGAAUGGCGUUCAUGCUAUCGUUUUAGGCUUGUCCAGCUUCUUUCAUCUUAGCAAGCACUUCCAUUUCUACCAUCUUAGCAGCAACUGUCAAAUUGAGAUAUGGAAAUCCCAUUAGCGCACGAGUUAAUUUUGUAGUUGAAAUAGAGUGCAAGAUGUCUUCAUGAUGUAAAUAACAUGCCUGAAGUUGUGAGAUGGGAAGUGAAGUCAACAAAUUACAUUAACGGAAAUGCAUGGAAGGCCACACAUACGUAUUAGUCCAUAAUACGCUACAAAGCUUGUAUGUACAUAUAGCAAAUUAAAUGCAUUAAUUGAAUAGAGUGAGUUUAGUGAAUUUACCAG
rnacentral:lncRNA from 1 species